CGGGUGAGUAAUGCUUAGGAAUCUACCGAGUAGUGGGGGAUAGCCAUUGGAAACGAUGAUUAAUACCGCAUAUAUCCUACGGGGGAAAGCAGGGGACCUUCGGGCCUUGCGCUAUUCGAUGAGCCUGAGUGAGAUUAGCUAGUUGGUGGGGUAAAGGCCUACCAAGGCGACGAUCUCUAGCUGGUUUGAGAGAAUGAUCAGCCACACUGGGACUGAGACACGGCCCAG
rnacentral:rRNA from 1 species